UACGUAGGGCGCAAGCGUUGUCCGGAAUUAUUGGGCGUAAAGAGCUCGUAGGUGGCGUGUCGCGUCUGCCGUGAAAGCCCAUGGCUUAACUGUGGGUCUGCGGUGGAUACGGGCAGGCUGGAGGCUGGUAGGGGCAAGCGGAAUUCCUGGUGUAGCGGUGAAAUGCGCAGAUAUCAGGAGGAACACCGAUGGCGAAGGCGGCUUGCUGGGCCAGUUCUGACGCUGAGGAGCGAAAGCGUGGGGAGCGAACAGG
rnacentral:rRNA from 1 species